GAUGAACGCUAGCGGGAGGCCUAACACAUGCCAGCCGAGCGGUAUUUGUUCUUCGGAACAGAGAGAGCGGCGCACGGGUGCGGAACACGUGUGCAACCUGCCUUUAUCUGGGGGAUAGCCUUUCGAAAGGAAGAUUAAUACCCCAUAAUAUAUUGAGUGGCAUCAUUUGGUAUUGAAAACUCCGGUGGAUAGAGAUGGGCACGCGCAAGAUUAGAUAGUUGGUGAGGUAACGGCUCACCAAGUCAAUGAUCUUUAGGGGGCCUGAGAGGGUGAUCCCCCACACUGGUACUGAGACACGGACCAGACUCCUACGGGAGGCAGCAGUGAGGAAUAUUGGACAAUGGGUUAGCGCCUGAUCCAGCCAUCCCGCGUGAAGGACGACGGCCCUAUGGGUUGUAAACUUCUUUUGUAUAGGGAUAAACCUACUCUCGUGAGAGUAGCUGAAGGUACUAUACGAAUAAGCACCGGCUAACUCCGUG
rnacentral:rRNA from 1 species